UGGCUGUACAAGUUGGCACUCCCACCAGCAGUGGUGGAGUGUUGGUGCAGGGCUUUUUGUAUAGGUGUCUGGAACACAAUCUUGCUGAGUAGGAACCAACAAUGGUAAAAGAACCUAACUGUAGAAAAAGCUUGCCCUGCUCUGGGUUACUACCCUUAGGUGUAGAAAAGUACCCUUGAGUCUAUGCGUUGCCUGGAGUUCUUCCAUUUUGUACAAUUAACACUUGGUUCCAUCUUUAAGAGCUCUUGCUGAGGCAGGGUAACUUACUGGUGAGUACACAACCACUAGACAUUGAACACACACAGCUUAUCACAAAGAAUGUCCCCAUCUGUGCAGCACAAAACACAAGGCAUGGACUUAUUUUCGAAAAUAAAAAAGCAUCAUCUAUGAACUUACCAAAUUAAAUCAGAACAAAUGGGCAUAUCAAAACCAUAUCAGAGAAACCAGGGCCAUGGGCUUAGCAGACACACCAAACCAAAGGUUGACGUAAUUUCCCCACCUGAGUCAUAUACAAAGAGACAUUGCUGGGUGUGGUGACACCUAUAAUCCCAGGAUUUAGGCGUGUGAGGGAGAAUUGCAAGUCUGAAGCCAACAAGGCUACAGGGUAAAACCCUAGCUCAAAAACAGGAGGAGCUUGCACUGGGGCUUGCAAGCCAGUCAUUCAGUCACUCUGUGUUCCUCACUGGAUGGAGUCCUGAUUCUGCCUCUGUGGCUUCAGCUCAGCUCAUCACCCUGCCUGCCUUGCCCUCUAGAACUACAUAGUUGUCUAGACCUAAUGUCUGCACCUAGGCGGCCUAGUCCCUGAAUAGCAUUUUGAUGUUUUUUUUUGACACCUAGCCAUCAGUAGUGACGCUAGAUCUAUGUCAGCUGUCUGCUUUUGCCUGUAAUGGGGCCUUUCUGAAACCUGUGAUUCUCAUGGCCUUUUCUUAGUAGUUGUAGAAUCUACCUAAUCUUGUGUGGCAUGAAAUGUGUGAUCUGAGAGUCAGUAAUAUUAGUAACUAAGAUUGGAGUGGAAUAAGAGAAAAUGAUUGUUCAGUGGUUCUGUUCCAAAUGAAACAAGACUACUUGGUUCCUUGAAGCUAAUGAAAUGGACAUAGCUAUGGAUUUAUUGUUAUUCAAUAAAUUCUGACGUUGAAGAAAGAUACAAACAUGUUUGUGACAUAGCUUGCUUAUUAAAUUUAACCCCAUUGACCAAUAUGAGAUAAACUUUAAGUCAUUAAGUUCCUCGGUCCUGGACAUGCAAGGGCUAGCACUAGCAAUGACCAAAACAUACUCAUUUUGACAGGGAUUUGUAUACUUCAGAAAAAUUUAGCUAACUUGUCAGUUUCCAGAAAAUGAAACACAGGCUCAUUCGGACCUGGGUGAAAGUCCCAACUUAACAACAUACUAACAAUGGCUUUUAAAAAAUAGGAUCUCACUGUGUAGUCUCAGCUGGCCUCAAGCUUGUAAUGCUUCUGCUUCAGCCUUCUUACUGGGGUUCAGAUGUGUGCCACCAUGCUUGACGGUCACUCUUUUUUUUUUUUUUUUCAUGUAUGAGACAUGGGUACCAGCUGAGGUGGAUGAGGAACCCUGUUUAGAAUUAGCCUCAUGCCUGGCAUAAAAAGUGUAGCUUUUGUGUGACAAGGCAGACUUGUCCUCCUUGGAGCUUACAUGAUACAUGAGAACCUGAACUUAUGACCUUAACAGGAAAGAGCAGUUGAGAUUGAAGAAUUCCACCCUAACAAAUGGUUCCCAGAGACAGAGAUGUAACUGCCCUGAAUGACCCAUGAUCCUGGAGAUUGCGCUCACUUGGAGAUUGCGGUUGGCCACCUGGAACGAGCUAAUCAGAACUGUUACCCUCGCUCACCCCAGACCCCAUCUGUUUGCAGUUUUUGCCUUUAAGAAGCCCCUAGUCCACAGCUCGGGGUCCAGCUUCUCUGCUCCUGCGUGAGUAACGUGCUGGGUCCCGGUGCACCGGUUGCUGAAUAAUAAAGCCUCUUGCUGUUUGCAUCAA